rfam:Salmo salar isolate Sally breed double haploid chromosome ssa17, whole genome shotgun sequence.
AAUGCACCAAUUUGUAAGUCGCUCUGGAUAAGAGCGUCUGCUAAAUGGCUAAAA